rnacentral:rRNA from 1 species
GUGUCAGCCGCCGCGGUAACACGUAGGGGGCAAGCGUUGUCCGGAUUCAUUGGGCGUAAAGAGCUCGUAGGCGGUUCGAUAAGUCGGGUGUGAAACCUCCAGGCUCAACCUGGAGACGCCACCCGAUACUGUCGUGACUAGAGUCCAGUAGGGGAGCGUGGAAUUCCUGGUGUAGCGGUGAAAUGCGCAGAUAUCAGGAGGAACACCAGCGGCGAAGGCGGCGCUCUGGGCUGGAACUGACGCUGAGGAGCGAAAGCGUGGGGAGCGAACAGGAUUAGAAACCCCCGUAGUCC